AUGUCUGAUGUCUUGCCAGUCUUCUCUGCCCAGGUGGUGAAGCAGGAACACAGACUGUCUGUUUCCUUGCCAACUAACACACACACACACACGCUUAAUCCUCAUUUUCUGCACCAUCACUCCAUUUCCUUCCCUCAUCCUUCCACUGCUUCUUCAGACUGCCUCUAUAUCGUUACUCUUUUCCUCCUUCCACUGCUUCUUCAGACUGCCUCUAUAUCGUUGCUCUUUUCCUCCUUCCACUGCUUCUUCAGACUGCCUCUAUAUCGUUACUCUUUUCCUCCUUCCACUGCUUCUUCAGACUGCCUCUAUAUCGUUACUCUUUUCCUCCUUCCACUGCUUCUUCAGACUGCCUCUAUCGUUACUCUUUUCCUCCUUCCACUGCUUCUUCAGACUGCCUCUAUAUCGUUACUCUUUUCCUCCUUCCACUGCUUCUUCAGACUGCCUCUAUAUCGUUACUCUUUUCCUCCUUCCACUGCUUCUUCAGACUGCCUCUAUAUCGUUACUCUUUUCCUCCUUCCACUGCUUCUUCAGACUGCCUCUAUAUCGUUACUCUCCUCCUUCCUCUGCUUCUUCAGACUGCCUCUAUAUCGUUACUCUUUUCCUCCUUCCACUGCUUCUUCAGACUGCCUCUAUCAUUACUCCUCCUUCCUCUGCUUCUUCAGACUGCCUCUGCUUCUUCAGACUGCCUCUAUCAUUACUCCUCCUUCCUCUGCUUUUUCAGACUGCCUCUAUAUCAUUACUCCUCUCCUUCCUCUGCUUCUUCAGACUGCCUCUAUCAUUACUCCUCUCCUCCUUCCUCUGCUUCUUCAGACUGCCUCUGCUUCUUCAGACUGCCUCUAUCAUUACUCCUCCUUCCUCUGCUUUUUCAGACUGCCUCUAUCAUUACUCCUCUCCGUCCUCUGCUUCUUCAGACUGCCUCUAUAUCAUUACUCCUCUCCUCCUUCCUCUGCUUCUUCAGACUGCCUCUAUCAUUACUCCUCUCCUCCUUCCUCUGCUUCUUCAGACUGCCUCUGCUUCUUCAGACUGCCUCUAUCAUUACUCCUCCUUCCUCUGCUUCUUCAAACUGCCUCUAUAUCAUUACUCCUCUCCGUCCUCUGCUUCUUCAGACUGCCUCUAUAUCAUUACUCCUCUCCUCCUGCCUCUGCUUCUUCAGACUGCCUCUAUCAUUACUCCUCCUUCCUCUGCUUUUUCAGACUGCCUCUAUCAUUACUCCUCCUUCCUCUGCUUCUUCAGACUGCCUCUAUAUCAUUACUCCUCUCCUCCUUCCUCUGCUUCUUCAAACUGCCUCUAUAUCAUUACUCCUCUCCUCCUUUCUCUGCUUCUUCAAACUGCCUCUAUAUCAUUACUCCUCUCCUCCUUCCUCUGCUUCUUCAGACUGCCUCUAUCAUUACUCCUCCUUCCUCUGCUUCUUCAGACUGCCUCUGCUUCUUCAAACUGCCUCUAUAUCAUUACUCUCCUCCUUCCUCUGCUUCUUCAGACUGCCUCUAUAUCAUUACUCCUCUCCUCCUUCCUCUGCUUCUUCAAACUGCCUCUAUAUCAUUACUCCUCUCCUCCUUCCUCUGCUUCUUCAGACUGCCUCUAUCAUUACUCUUCUCCUUCCUCUGCUUCUUCAGACUGCCUCUAUCAUUACUCCUCCUUCCUCUGCUUCUUCAGACUGCCUCUAUCAUUACUCCUCCUUCCUCUGCUUUUUCAGACUGCCUCUAUCAUUACUGCUCCUUCCUCUGCUUCUUCAAGAUGCCUCUAUCAUUACUCCUCUCCUCCUUCCUCUGCUUCUUCACUGCCUCUAUCAUUACUCCUCUCCUCCUUCCUCUGCUUCUUCAGACUGCCUCUGCUUUUUCAGACUGCCUCUAUAUCAUUACUCCUCUCCUCCUUCCUCUGCUUCUUCACUGCCUCUAUCAUUACUCCUCUCCUCCUUCCUCUGCUUCUUCACUGCCUCUAUCAUUACUCCUCUCCUCCUUCCUCUGCUUCUUCACUGCCUCUAUCAUUACUCCUCUCCUCCUUCCUCUGCUUCUUCAAACUGCCUCUAUAUCAUUACUCCUCUCCUCCGUCCUCUGCUUCUUCACUGCCUCUAUAUCAUUACUCCUCUCCUCCUUCCUCUGCUUCUUCAGACUGCCUCUAUAUCAUUACUCCUCUCCUUCCACUGCUUCUUCAGACUGCCUCUAUAAAAAGGAAGGAGAGUGGACUCCUUCCUCUGCUCUCCCCCUCCACUCAUUCCCUCCUUCCUUCUGGUAG
rnacentral:lncRNA from 1 species